GACGAACGCUGGCGGCGUGCUUAACACAUGCAAGUCGAACGGAAAGGCCCUGCUUUUGUGUGGUGCUCGAGUGGCGAACGGGUGAGUAACACGUGAGUAACCUGCCCUUGACUUUGGGAUAACUUCAGGAAACUGGGGCUAAUACCGGAUAGGAGCUCCUGCUGCAUGGUGGGGGUUGGAAAGUUUCGGCGGUUGGGGAUGGACUCGCGGCUUAUCAGCUUGUUGGUGGGGUAGUGGCUUACCAAGGCUUUGACGGGUAGCCGGCCUGAGAGGGUGACCGGCCACAUUGGGACUGAGAUACGGCCAAGACUCCUACGGGAGGCAGCAGUGGGGAAUAUUGCACAAUGGGCGGAAGCCUGAUGCAGCAACGCCGCGUGCGGGAUGACGGCCUUCGGGUUGUAAACCGCUUUCGCAAGUGACGAAGCGUGAGUGACGGUAAUGGGUAAAGAAGAAAAGGCUAACUAAGUG
rnacentral:rRNA from 1 species